CCGCCGGACUACAGGGAAUGUCUUGUGACGCUUCGAUCACACCGACAGGGUCAUUGCGCAAAAUAGUAAGCAGCAUCAUCUGGAUAUGUAUUCAACAAAAGUUCAACAUUAGACUUCUGCUACCAUUUCUGUCAAGCCAUCUACGCAUACAGUUUGACGCAUAUGUUCAAUAAAUCCAACGCAAUGCUGCAAGGCAAACGCAGCUUUCAUUGGAAAUUAACUUAAUUCUGGUGUACCAAAAUGCAAUGACUAUAAUUCUGGUGUACCAAAAUGCAAUGACUAUGUCGGUGUGUUCAAAGCGGAAGUGUUAGCAAAUGUUUAUGAGCUCCUAUACACCGCAUUCAUCCACUCAGGACCAAACACCUGAUAAUGACAUGAAUUAAGGAAAGAGACAUGUUGCGGCAAGGAAUCAAAACAAUCACUUUAACAGUGUCAACGAAAUGGUAAAGUGUGUAGCCUAAUAUCGCUAGAAAUAGUUAAGUUUAACAAAAUGUUAAAACCACUGAAAAAGUUGGAACAUGAGUUCAGCAAAGGCGCUCUCUAACCAGGCCCUGAAGUUGAGAGUUCACCUGUUCUGUCCUGGCUAAAAGCUUCUGAGAGUUUGCUGUUGGACCUUUUGCUGUUCGGACUCUGAUGGGGAACAGUGGUGCCAAUGCCAACCAAUGGAUGCAGAGGGGCUCGUAUCAUCACCUGGCUGGCACUAAUGUAUUCCAACCCUACUCUGUCGUCUUAAUAAUGUGUUGUUUUUUGUGUAUGGGAGUGUGACGUGUGUGUGACACUGUGUGUGCGACACAGCGUGUGUGUGUGAUUGUGCUGUGAUUGUGAUGUGUGUGACACUGUGUGUGUCUGUGUGUGUGAUUGUGAUGUGUGUGACACUGUGUGUGUCUGUGUGUGUGAUUGUGCUGUGAUUGUGAUGUGUGUGACACUGUGUGUGUCUGUGUGUGCUUGGUGGCUGAGAUGACCUCAUCAUUGAGUAUAGCCUGUCUGCCUCUCUCUAGUCUAAUGUGAGGUCUCCAGCAGCUUGUCCCUCAGGCUCGGCUCUUAAUUCAGAGAAUGUGUAAUACACCCAGGUAAGCAGGUUUAAUCUGCUUUGGGCUUGCAUACAGAGCAGACGGAAUUUGAUUUGAUUUGAUGUGUAUCUACCCGCUUUACAUCAAACAGCACAUUUCAACAGCUGGGCUCAAUAUGAGUUUUGACAUGUUUAAAAAAAUAUAUAUAUUUUAAACUUAAAUCUCUCUCACAACUCGAACUGGUUCAAACAAAUCUCCCUCAGUCACGUUAUUGGCCCUGCUUCCUGGAAAAACGUAAUAGCUUUAAAGCUCAAUAUGGCAUUGUUAUGGUUUCGUACCCUCUGUCACAAAUUCCAGACAGAAGUGAAUUUCCUAUUCCCUGUCAAUAACACCCAGAGUAUCACCUCUGAAAGUGAGGAAGCAUGAUUCAAUAAACCUGUCACUUAUUCUUUUCACUUUGACCCCGUGUUACCCUUGUUAGUCCAGGGGAGUUGGAUUACCGUUGCUUUUCCACCAUGUAUGUAACCUUCAUAGCCUUCCCAAGAAACAGAAACACCAGACUGGCUAUAUCAGUAUCACUCUUUGGCCCACACUGUCCACACACCUCUUUGGCCCACACUGUCCACACACCCCAGUCAAUGUGCAACUGUUUUCAGGCCUCUCUCAGAAUCACACACUGGUAAAGAAGUCGCCUGUGCUGGACAUUUUUAAUGUUUGUGCUUUUCUAAUAACAAAUUUCUGUGUUCUAUUCAUGUGCUUUUCUAAUAACCAUUUUCUAUGUUCAAGCAAGUGACUGACUGAACGAAUCCUCACUAUCAGUAUCUGCAAUUUGGCAGUACGCCCAGACCUUUGUUUUGAGAAUGAAAGAUCUCAGUUUCAAGGUCUCGGCUUAGAGAGAAGAAGCCUUGUGAGGUAU